GGGACCCCGACUCUCAGGUCUUAGGGUUGGAGGCCCGCAUUUCUGGAUCCCUAUAAACAUGGGCUGAGAGCCCCCCCAAGAGCAUCUCUAAGACCGGAGUGGGCAGGGACCUGGGCCUCUGAGGGGCUCAGGCUCCAGGCCGGAAACUGCACGCGGUGCUGGAGUCAGGCCCGAGGCCCAGCCACGCCUCCCACGGCCUCCCUGAUCGCCAUUCGGGGCUUGCGGGAGCACCUGGGAGGCUCCACCCGGAGCCAGACACUGCCUGCCCCCACGCCCCUCCAGGACCCGCGAAGGAGAAGGAAAUCGGGACUGGCCCAGCGUCCCGUGCUCUAGAAGGCGGGCUACUGCCCCGUCCCAAGCAGGAGAGGAGGACGAGCGAGGGCGUCACUCAUUCUGUCCCCCGCGGAAGGAUGAGGAAGCUCUGUUUACCUAAAUGAAAAGCUUUCUAGGAGGAAGUCGUAAGUGAACAAUGAUGCAUGAGGAUGCAAUCUUACAGGCAAGGAGCCCAGUGAUAACAAAUGGCUGUAGAUGCUUUUCUCCGUCAAGCUUCCAGGAGGAGAUGAGAUGGAGCCCAUCGCUGAGCCAAGGUCACCAGCCCCAUUUCACAGAUGUAAAUAGCAGGUGUCCCCCACACAGUCUGAACACUUGGAGGCCAAGAUUCAUUUCUCUCAGGGCCCACCAUCCUCAAGCAUGGGAUUGAUUUAGUGCCUCUUGCUGGGAAGCAAAGUUCUGGGAGCCAUAGUGGGAUCCUGCCUCCCUCCCUGCAGGAGACUGGGGCCCUUCCAAGCAGCAACUGAGACCAGUCAACAACCUCUGCCUUAGGCCAGGCGCGGUAGCUCACGCCUGUAAUCCCAACACUUUGGGAGGCUGAGGCGGGCAGAUCAUCUGAGGUCAGGAGUUCAAAACCAUCCUGGCCAACAUGGUGAAACCCCGUCUCUACUAAAAAUACAAAAAUUAGCUGGGCGUGGUGGUGCGUCCCCGUUGUCCUAGCUACUCGGGAGGCCAAGGCAGGAGAAUUCCUUGAACCUGGGAGACAGAGGUUGCAGGUCUGAGAUUGCACCACAGCAUCCAGCCUGGGCGACAGAGUGAGACCCUGUCUCAAAAAGAAACAAAUUAAAAAACAAAAAACAAAAAACAACCUCUGCCUGCCCUUGGGGCCUAGCAUGAGCCCCUGCACACAGGAGGCUUCUAUAAAAAUAGCUCAUUUCGGGUAAUCUAGGGCAGAA